AGUGAACGCUGGCGGUAGGCCUAACACAUGCAAGUCGAACGGCAGCACAGUAAGAGCUUGCUCUUACGGGUGGCGAGUGGCGGACGGGUGAGGAAUACAUCGGAAUCUACUUUUUCGUGGGGGAUAACGUAGGGAAACUUACGCUAAUACCGCAUACGACCUACGGGUGAAAGCAGGGGAUCUUCGGACCUUGCGCGAUUGAAUGAGCCGAUGUCGGAUUAGCUAGUUGGCGGGGUAAAGGCCCACCAAGGCGACGAUCCGUAGCUGGUCUGAGAGGAUGAUCAGCCACACUGGAACUGAGACACGGUCCAGACUCCUACGGGAGGCAGCAGUGGGGAAUAUUGGACAAUGGGCGCAAGCCUGAUCCAGCCAUACCGCGUGGGUGAAGAAGGCCUUCGGGUUGUAAAGCCCUUUUGUUGGGAAAGAAAAGCAGCAGGUUAAUACCCCGCUGUUCCGACGGUACCCAAAGAAUAAGCACCGGCCAACUUCGUG
rnacentral:rRNA from 1 species